AUUGAACGCUGGCGGCAGGCCUAACACAUGCAAGUCGGACGGUAGCACAGAGGAGCUUGCUCCUCGGGUGACGAGUGGCGGACGGGUGAGUAAUGUCUGGGGAUCUGCCCGAUAGAGGGGGAUAACCACUGGAAACGGUGGCUAAUACCGCAUAACGUCGCAAGACCAACGAGGGGGACCUUCGGGCCUCUCACUAUCGGAUGAACCCAGAUGGGAUUAGCUAGUAGGCGGGGUAACGGCCCACCGAGGCGACGAUCCCUAGCUGGUCUGAGAGGAUGACCAGCCACACUGGAACUGAGACACGGUCCAGACUCCUACGGGAGGCAGCAGUGGGGAAUAUUGCACAAUGGGCGCAAGCCUGAUGCAGCCAUGCCGCGUGUAUGAAGAAGGCCUUCGGGUUGUAAAGUACUUUCAGCGGGGAGGAAGGCGAUGUGGUUAAUAACCGCGUCGAUUGACGUUACCCGCAGAAGAAGCACCGGCUAACUCCGUGCCAGCCGCCGCCGUAA
rnacentral:rRNA from 1 species